ACCUCAUCCUGAGUCCAAACUCGCCUCACCAGGUCCGAGUACCCGAGUCGACUCAGCACCGGUCGAAUGCUAACCAUGUAUAGCCUCUUGUACCCUCCCAAGGCGGCUACCACCGUUUUCACCGACGACGGAAGCGGCGAUUUUACAUGACGGAAGCACACUUGUUCCCACACCGAUUCACUUCGAGCUAUGGUGCACCAUAGCCGGCAGACACAGGUCGCGACCCCGAGGGAUGGUCCGUCUAGCCGCUUGAGGAUUUCGAUCAGAAUGUCGAGAUUGUCGUUGAUUAAGAACUUCCGCCUCUUCUCGUUCGGCUCUGGGGAAGGCAGACCAGAGACACACACCCGGGGGGCAGGGGUGGAACUUUUAGACUAUGAAAAACGCGUUGACAAUCGCAUAAUUGUACCAUAGAGGUAUAUUUUGCGUCGUCUUUGCUCAUGGUAUAUCCACAGUUUAUCACUAAACUUGUGUGCUUUAAUUAAAAUUGUCAUUCUAAUAAUUGUGAAUCUUGUUGGAUGGUUCAUUUCUAUUACAAAACGUACAGCGUUUUCAUAUGGCCUUCAUAUGAUACAGUGAUAUAUACACAUCACACUGAGGAAAUAUAUGCUGGAAAACUAAAAAACAAAAUAGACAGAACUUUAUGCACUUGGUGGAAAAAGGUGAAGCAGAAGACGAUAAAAUGCAUUAAAAAAUGUUUGAAAAUAAGAAGUGUUGUUUGUGCGGAGGAAGAAAAGUGAGGGGAAACAAGCAUCAUAGGUGUCUUCUGAAAAACAAUAAAUAAAUAAUGUAAAUAUGUGUGAGAAUUGAGAAGAGAUGACCCAUUGAAAAUCAUAGACAGGGCAGUGCCCAUUUGAUUGUCUGAUGGGGUUGGCACGGAAAGGAAAACCCCAAGUCCUUUGAGACAGAAAGGAUAUAAUAAAACAUCAUUAUAUUGGGUGUUAGAAUUGACAUUUAGAUUUAUAAAAAGACCCUUUAGGUUGGGUUCUGCGGGAAGGACUUAGGAGGUGAGAGAUUCUCUUAGCCUCUCCCUCCCCUACUGCCCCCACCUCUAUAUUAUAUUCUUUUAGGGUUUCUGAAGACGUUGUUUUAUUUAUGUUGGACUUGUCUAUUGGACUUAUCUGAGAAAGCACUGUUCCCAAGUCUUGCUGAGAAGAACUUAAUAAUUGCAACAAUACAAGAAGAAAAACUCCUAAAGGUCAAUAACCAACACAAAUUCUUACGUUUCCAUUUUCUUACUUGCUUAACCUUCUCUGUGUUAAAAGACUGCCUUUCGUACUUACUUUGUUGUUAUAGAGUUCUUGUCAUCAUCAUCUUGUAAUUUUUCAAUUUUUUACAGCUUAACAUUUCAUUCAAUUCAACUCCCCUUCUUUCUUUCUUUGUUGUUUUUUUUUUCUUUUUUUUUUUUAAUAAAUAUUUUCCAUACAUACAUUUGCGUUUCUAAGACUCUGUUUACUUAUAUUUUAUUGAGCUUAAUAUUUUGUAUCAUCAACAGAAAGACUGUCACAUUUUCCCAUUUUGCUGUAAAUCUUCUUUCA